GAAGGUGGCAACUCGGAGCAAAUAAUUCCUCUCCUUGCCAUUAUAACUUGUUUCCUGGGAUUCGCCUACACGUCUUCGACUGUUUAUUUCGCUUUAACGAAGCACUUUGAGGAUUUCUGUAAAAUUCUAGAUGUUCAUCAAGAGAGAUUUGGAAUCUUGAAGAAAACAUCUUAUAUUCAAAGAAAUGACAGACUAAUACCAUACUUGGCAAUAAGUACUGCAUUAUUUGCGUCCGUUUUCUUAACAUCUUUAGUCUUAUAUUGGAAAGACGAUAUGAGCAAAGUAGCGUAUCCCUUCGAUUUUUCAAACUUUCAGAACAUGGCGUAUGCUGCCAUUAUGACAGCUCUGAACGAAUUCGUUAUCGUGAAUCAUACUUAUUUAUUGGAAGUACUGUUCUAUGAAUGUUCAGUUUUAUUCAUUUCCGAGUUUGUUGAACAGACAAAAAAUGUUCAAUGUUGCAUUACAAAUUAUGCUAAAACUGAAGUGAAAAAUUACAUGAAAUUUGAAUCUUCGAUUGAAACUCUGCGACAACAGUAUAUGAGUUUAAUUGAAUGUUUCGAACAUUCAAAUAAAAUUUUGUGUCAUUAUUUAUUUGGAUGCUAUGCUGUGGUUAUUCCUGGAUUUUGUUUUAUGUUAUAUGGAUUCACAAGAGAUGUGUUAACAACUGGUGAAACAAUGUAUAUUGCUUCUCUUUCUGUUGCUAACCUGGCUGUAAUUAUAAUGUUCACUGGUAUGGGGGCAAUAUUGAGCAUUAAGGCUCAUGAACCUUUAGAUGCUUUGAUGAAGAUAGAUCUAUUGUCUGUAACGGAUAAAACUGUCCAUUCCGUAAAUUUGUUUGUGUCUAGAUUAACCGGACCAACAAUAGGAUAUCGUGUGUAUGAAUUGUUUACCUUGGAUGCAAAUACUAUAUUGGCAGUUAUUGGAAUUUUGUUAACCUAUACUGUGGUUAUGUUACAAUUUUCUGGAUCUACAAAUAUCAACAACUGUUCAUUAAAUAUAACGGUUAAUUAACAUGCCUGUAAUUGUUUACAAAUACA